GAUGAACGCUGGCGGCGUGCCUAAUACAUGCAAGUCGAGCGAACAGACGAGGAGCUUGCUCCUCUGAUGUUAGCGGCGGACGGGUGAGUAACACGUGGAUAACCUACCUAUAAGACUGGGAUAACUUCGGGAAACCGGAGCUAAUACCGGAUAACAUGUUGAACCGCAUGGUUCAACAGUGAAAGACGGUCUUGCUGUCUCUUAUAGAUGGAUCCGCGCCGGAUUAGCUAGUUGGUAAGGUAACGGCUUACCAAGGCAACGAUGCGUAGCCGACCUGAGAGGGUGAUCGGCCACACUGGAACUGAGACACGGUCCAGACUCCUACGGGAGGCAGCAGUAGGGAAUCUUCGACAAUGGGCGAAAGCCUGACGGAGCAACGCCGCGUGAGUGAAGAAGGCCUUCGGAUCGUAAAACUCUGUUAUUAGGGAAGAACAAAUGUGUAAGUAACUAUGCACGUCUUGACGGUACCUAAUCAGAAAGCCACGGCUAACUACGUG
rnacentral:rRNA from 1 species